UACGAAGGGGACUAGCGUUGUUCGGAAUCACUGGGCGUAAAGCGCACGUAGGCGGAUUUGUAAGUCAGGGGUGAAAUCCCGGGGCUCAACCUCGGAACUGCCUUUGAUACUGCGAAUCUUGAGUCCGAUAGAGGUGGGUGGAAUUCCUAGUGUAGAGGUGAAAUUCGUAGAUAUUGGGAAGAACACCGGUGGCGAAGGCGGCUCUCUGGACCGAGACUGACGCUGAGGCGCGAAAGCGUGGGGAGCAAACAGG
rnacentral:rRNA from 1 species